AUGGCCUCCUCCGCUGCCGGCGCCGGCAAGUCACUGAUCCAGACAUUCCGCAAGUUCUUCAAGAAGCCGUGGGAGAUCACCGGCCCGUGCUCCUCGCCCGAGUACCGCAGCGCGGUCCCGGGUGCGCUCGAGUACCGUCAAACCUGCCCGGCCACCCUUCGCGAGGACUCCCUCAGGGCCGUCAUCCCCACCUCCGACCCGGAGACCGUGUUCGACAUCAAGUACUACCCGCGCGACUGCCGCCGCAACCGCCCGCCCGUCCGCCGCACCCUCCUCCGCAAGCCCGAUCUCGAGCGCUACAUGGCCGCCAAGCAGUUCGACCCCGCCAAGGACUUCCCCGUCCCCUACGUCAAUUCUGCUGUCGAGUACAGCGAAGUCGGCGGCGGCUACACCAAGUGA
rnacentral:rRNA from 1 species